UACGAAGGGGGCUAGCGUUGCUCGGAAUUACUGGGCGUAAAGCGCACGUAGGCGGCUUUCUAAGUCGGGGGUGAAAUCCUGGAGCUCAACUCCAGAACUGCCUUCGAUACUGGAGAGCUCGAGUCCGGGAGAGGUGAGUGGAACUGCGAGUGUAGAGGUGAAAUACUUAGAUAUGUCAUAGAACACCGAUUGCGAAGGCAGCUAACGAAGCUGUAACUGACACUGAGGCUCGAAAGUGCGGGGAUCAAACAGG
rnacentral:rRNA from 1 species